rnacentral:rRNA from 1 species
AGAGUUUGAUCCUGGCUCAGGAUGACGCUGGCGGCGUGCUUAACACWUGCAAGUCGAACGAACCUUCGGGUUAGUGGCGGACGGGUGAGUAACGCGUGAGAAUCUGCCCUCAGGAGGGGGACAACAGUUGGAAACGACUGCUAAUACCCCAUAUGCCGCGAGGUGAAAUGAAUUUCGCCUGAGGAUGAGCUCGCGUCUGAUUAGCUAGUUGGUGUAGGUAAUGGCUCACCAAGGCAUCGAUCAGUAGCUGGUCUGAGAGGAUGAUCAGCCACACUGGGACUGAGACACGGCCCAGACUCCUACGGGAGGCAGCAGUGGGGAAUUUUCCGCAAUGGGCGAAAGCCUGACGGAGCAACGCCGCGUGAGGGAUGAAGGCCUCUGGGCUGUAAACCUCUUUUAUCAAGGAAAGAGAUCUGACGGUACUCGAUGAAUAAGCCACGGCUAAUUCCGUGCCAGCAGCCGCGGUAAUACGGGAGUGGCAAGCGUUAUCCGGAAUUAUUGGGCGUAAGCGUCCGCAGGCGGCCCUUCAAGUCUGCUGUUAAAAGUGGAGCUUAACUCCAUCAUGGCAGUGGAACUGUGGCUUGAGUGUGGUAGGGCAGAGGGAAUUCCCGGUGUAGCGUGAAUGCGUAGAUAUCGGGAAGAACACCAGUGGCGAAGGCGCUCUGCUGGCCAUCACUGACGCUCAUGGACGAAAGCCAGGGGAGCGAAAGGGAUUAGAUACCCCUGUAGUCCUGGCCGUAAACGAUGAACACUAGGUGUCGGGGGAAUCGACCCCCUCGGUGUCGUAGCCAACGCGUUAAGUGUUCCGCCUGGGGAGUACGCACGCAAGUGUGAAACUCAAAGGAAUUGACGGGGGCCCGCACAAGCGGUGGAGUAUGUGGUUUAAUUCGAUGCAACGCGAAGAACCUUACCAGGGUUUGACAUCCUGCGAAUCUCUUGGAAACAGGAGAGUGCCUUCGGGAACGCAGUGACAGGUGGUGCAUGGCUGUCGUCAGCUCGUGUCGUGAGAUGUUGGGUUAAGUCCCGCAACGAGCGCAACCCACGUCUUUAGUUGCCAGCAUUCAGUUGGGCACUCUAGAGAGACUGCCGGUGAUAAACCGGAGGAAGGUGUGGAUGACGUCAAGUCAUCAUGCCCCUUACAUCCUGGGCUACACACGUACUACAAUGCUACGGACAAAGGGCUGCAAGUUCGCGAGGACAAGCAAAUCCCAUAAACCGUGGCUCAGUUCAGAUCGUAGGCUGCAACUCGCCUACGUGAAGGCGGAAUCGCUAGUAAUCGCAGGUCAGCAUACUGCGGUGAAUACGUUCCCGGGCCUUGUACACACCGCCCGUCACACCRUURRAGUUGGCCACGCCCGAAGCCGUUACUCCAACCCUUGUGGGGAGGACGUCGAAGGUGGGGCUGAUGACUGGGGUGAAGUCGUAACAAGGUAACC